GCACCAGUGGUGUAUGGCACACACAAUCACCUCGUAAAACCUCCAUACUAAUAGGAGUGAUUGAGUCCGGGGUUCGGUUCCCUGCUGGUGCA